UGGUGACCAGCGGAGGGAUCAUUAAAGAGUUUAAUAAAACUCCUAAACCCCUGUGAACUCACUAUGUUGGAUUCUCGCCAGAGAUAGUCUGGUUUCUGCUUCGCGGAUCGCCUGCCCGUGACACCUGUCACAGGUAGGUAUGCUUCUGCCGCGGGUCCGCAGGUAAAUUGUCUGUUUCACAAGGGACGGCGAUUUUACCUGUGGAAGAGGUCCGCUAACUAUAUUCUUAUUAUAAAAUCUGUGAACUUACUAGGUUGGAUUCUCGCCAGAGAUAGUCUGGUUUCUGCCACGCAGAUCGACUGCCUGCCCGUGACACCUGUCACAGGUAGGUAAGCUUUUGCCGCGGGUCCGCAUGUAAAUCGUCUGUUUCACAAGGGACGGCGAUUUACCUGUGGAAGAGGUCCGCUAACUAUAUUCUUAGUAUAGUUUGUUCACUAGAUCAAACAUUCUGAAUAAAAACUUAAACUAGUUAAAACUUUCAACAACGGAUCUCUUGGUUCUGGCAUCGAUGAAGAACGCAGCGAAAUGCGAUAAGUAAUGUGAAUUGCAGAAUUCAGUGAAUCAUCGAAUCUUUGAACGCACAUUGCGCCCAUUAGUAUUCUAGUGGGCAUGCCUGUUCGAGCGUCAUUUCAACCCUUAAGCCCCUGUUGCUUAGCGUUGGGAGCCUACAGCCUGCUGUAGCUCCUUAAAGGUAGUGGCGGAGUCGGUUCACACUCUAGACGUAGUAAAAUCUUUAUCUCGCCUAUAGAUGAGCCGGCGCCUUGCCGUAAAACCCCUACUCUUUCACAAGGUUGACCUCGGAUCAGGUAGGAAUACCCGCUGAACUUAAGCAUAUCAAUAAGCGGAGGAAAAGAAACCAACAGGGAUUGCCCUAGUAACGGCGAGUGAAGCGGCAACAGCUCAAAUUUGAAAUCUGGCCUUCGGGUCCGAGUUGUAAUUUGCAGAGGAUGCUUUGGGCGCGGUGCCUUCCGAGUUCCCUGGAACGGGACGCCUUAGAGGGUGAGAGCCCCGUACGGUUGGACACCAAGCCUCUGUAAAGCUCCUUCGACGAGUCGAGUAGUUUGGGAAUGCUGCUCUAAAUGGGAGGUAAAUUUCUUCUAAAGCUAAAUAUUGGCCAGAGACCGAUAGCGCACAAGUAGAGUGAUCGAAAGAUGAAAAGCACUUUGAAAAGAGGGUUAAAUAGCACGUGAAAUUGUUGAAAGGGAAGCGUUUGCGACCAGACCUUUUCCCAGCGGAUCAUCCGGUGUUCUCACCGGUGCACUUCGCUGGGUUGAGGCCAGCAUCGGUUUCCGCAGGGGGAUAAAAGCCUGGGGAACGUAGCUCCCUCGGGAGUGUUAUAGCCCCUCGCAUAAUACCCUUGCGGGGACCGAGGACCGCGCUUCGGCAA
rnacentral:rRNA from 1 species